rnacentral:misc_RNA from 1 species
GAUGAAGAACGUAGCGAAAUGCGAUAAGUAAUGUGAAUUGCAGAAUUCCGUGAAUCAUCGAAUUUUUGAACGCACAUUGCGCCCGCUGGUAUUCCGGCGGGCAUGCCUGUUCGAGCGUCAUUUCAACCCUCAAGCUCUCCGGAGUUUGGUGUUGGGGCGCCUGGGGCUUUUCGACCUCAGGGCCCUCAAGUCCAUCGGCGGGACCGCCAGGACACUGAGCGCAGUAGUAUUAUUUCGCUCGGUAGGAUCUUCCACGGCGGGUCGAUCUGGCCGCUAAACCCCCCAAUUCUCACCAAAGGUUGACCUCGGAUCAGGUAGGAAUACCCGCUGAACUUAAGCAUAUCAAUAAGCGGAGGA